CGCGUAGGCGGAUUAGUCAGUCAGAGGUGAAAUCCCAGGGCUCAACCCUGGAACUGCCUUUGAUACUGCUAGUCUUGAGUUCGAGAGAGGUGAGUGGAAUUCCGAGUGUAGAGGUGAAAUUCGUAGAUAUUCGGAGGAACACCAGUGGCGAAGGCGGCUCACUGGCUCGAUACUGACGCUGAGGUGCGAAAGCGUGGGGAGCAAACA
rnacentral:rRNA from 1 species